AUCCAACUGACGAGUUCCGGAUAGAACGAAACACGCGUCAAACUGGAU
rnacentral:hammerhead_ribozyme from 1 species